rnacentral:rRNA from 1 species
AUGAUGGACCCGGCCACCGCCUACCUGCUCGACGAGCUCACCGAUGACUGCCGCAGCGAGUACCGCAACCUCAUGGCCUCGGCCGUGCGCGGCGACUUCGAAACCUGCGGCCUGUACGCGGACCAGCUGAAGCGGCACUGUGCCGAGCAGUUCAAGGAGGGGGUCCUCGGGCUGGAGCACCUCGCCGCCGUGGACGGGCUCUGCGAGAUCGUCGCCCGCGGCAUGGGCACGGCGGAGGGGCCGCGCAGGUACCACAUCAACCUGUCCGUGUUCACCUCGCUGCCGGACAUGUGGGCCAUCGAGCAGCUCUUCCCCAUCAUCCCCAUCCAGCGCCUCCAGGAGCGGCCCGCCGUGGACGGCGUCCUCUCGGACCUGACCUGCGACAGCGACGGCAAGGUGGACCAGUUCAUCGGUGGCAGGAGCAGCCUCCCCCUGCGGUCAAAUUUCGUGUUUUUGACCCUUUUUGCAAACAAAAUCGGGAUCUGA